rnacentral:rRNA from 1 species
CCUACGGGAGGCAGCAGUGGGGGAUAUUGCACAAUGGAGGAAACUCUGAUGCAGCGACGCCGCGUGAGGGAAGACGGUCUUCGGAUUGUAAACCUCUGUCUUUGGGGAAGAAAAUGACGGUACCCAAAGAGGAAGCUCCGGCUAACUACGUGCCAGCAGCCGCGGUAAUACGUAGGGAGCGAGCGUUGUCCGGAAUUACUGGGUGUAAAGGGAGCGUAGGCGGGGGAGAAAGUUGAAUGUUAAAUCUACGGGCUUAACUGGUAGCUGCGUUCAAAACUUCUUGUCUUGAGUGUAGAAGAGGCAGGCGGAAUGCGUAGUGUAGCGGUGAAAUGCGUAGAUAUUAGGAGGAACACCAGUGGCGAAGGCGGCCUGCUGGGCUUUAACUGACGCUGAGGCUCGAAAGCGUGGGGAGCAAACAGGAUUAGAUACCCGAGUAGUC